rnacentral:rRNA from 1 species
AUGUUGGGUUAAGUCCCGCAACGAGCGCAACCCUUAUCCUUUGUUGCCAGCGGUUCGGCCGGGAACUCAAAGGAGACUGCCAGUGAUAAACUGGAGGAAGGUGGGGAUGACGUCAAGUCAUCAUGGCCCUUACGAGUAGGGCUACACACGUGCUACAAUGGCAUAUACAAAGAGAAGCGACCUCGCGAGAGCAAGCGGACCUCAUAAAGUAUGUCGUAGUCCGGAUUGGAGUCUGCAACUCGACUCCAUGAAGUCGGAAUCGCUAGUAAUCGUAGAUCAGAAUGCUACGGUGAAUACGUUCCCGGGCCUUGUACACACCGCCCGUCACACCAUGGGAGUGGGUUGCAAAAGAAGUAGGUAGCUUAACCUUCGGG